GAUGAAGAACGUAGCGAAAUGCGAUAAGUAAUGUGAAUUGCAGAAUUCAGUGAAUCAUCGAAUCUUUGAACGCACAUUGCGCCCUCUGGUAUUCCGGGGGGCAUGCCUGUUCGAGCGUCAUUAUAACCACUCAAGCUCUCGCUUGGUAUUGGAGUUCGCGAUCUCGCGGCUCCUAAAAUCAGUGGCGGUGCCUGUCGGCUCUACGCGUAGUAAUACUCCUCGCGAUUGAGUCCGGUAGGUUUACUUGCCAGCAACCCCCAAUUUUUACAGGUUGACCUCGGAUCAGGUAGGGAAACCCGCUGAACUUAAGCAUAUCAAUAAGCGGAGGA
rnacentral:misc_RNA from 1 species